rnacentral:miRNA from 1 species
ACUCAUUGGCCAGAAGAAAUCCCUUCUGUUUAAUGACAGCUACCUCAUUGGCUGGAAGGAAUUCCUUCCAGUAGAUGAGGUAGCUGUACCUCAUGUACCAGAAGGGAUUCCUUCUGGUCAGUCAGAGC